ACGAGCUCCGGCGCGAUCUCAUGGCGGAUUGGCAGCAACGACUGUCGCAACCGAGGGCUGGGCUCGCUGUCAUUACAGCGGUAAGUCCCCUCUUUGAGGAGUGGCUAGAGAGGCGCCAUGGCGUCCUCACCUACCGCCUGACGCAGGUGCUUACCGGACAUGGGAGUUUCGGUAGGUUCCUGUUUUUGAUUGGGCGGGAGGAAACGCCCGGGUGUCAUCACUGCGAAGACCGCCCGGAGGACACGGUGGAACACACGGUUGCGGUCUGCCCUGCGUGGGCUGAGCACCGCCGUGCCCUCAGGGAAGUGAUCGGCGACGGCGACCUCUCGCGUCCGGCUUUGGUUCAGACCAUGGUGCGGAGCGAGGGGGACUGGGAUGCCGUCUCCUCCUUCUGCGAAGCAGUUAUGCUAGCUAAGGAGGAGGCGGGACGCGUGAGGGAACGAACUUCCUCACGCCCUAGCCGACGCGAAAGACACUCCGGGCGUCGGGGAUCGCGUGACGAUCUCCGGCCACCGUAAGUGCGGGUCUGCGGACGGCGAGCAAGGGUAGCUCGCCGCCCGACCAGAACCAGACCCGUGCGUGCGGCGCGUUGCGUUUCGCGCGCGCCUCAAAGAGCCAUCAGACCACCACAGAUGGGGCCCAGUAGGGCUGAUGCUUAAUCCGGAGCUGCGGACUACCUAGCGGGUUUACCGGGGCUCCGGCUCGACAAGCAGGAGUAGGAACGGGGUGGUUUUUAGUCAGUAAGAGUCUGACACUCCCUCUCGCUUUGCCCUGGCGAGAGAAGUCAUUGGAUGAUUUUCCCCCCUGAAAAAAAAAAAAAAAAAAAAAAAGAGCUCAUUAUGUUGAUUUUUGAAGAGUUCCCUGGAAUAUCUUCCACAUCUCAUUUUUGAAGAGAUCCCGCGAGAUCGGGAACUAUGUGGUUAAAACCAAAAAUUUGCCGGAAGUCACUAUUCCACGCGAACGAAGUCGCGGGCAAAAGCUAAUAUGGAAUAAAAAUGCGUACUAAGUUCACCCGUAGCAUAUAAUACAAAAAUAUCACAGUUAGCAUUCUAUUUUCACAUUAUAGGCUCUCGUAAGUUAAACAAAACAAUAAUAACAAUAAUUUUAUACAAAUCGGACGUGUUCUCAUUUCAAAUUAAGUGUAGAAGAAAAAGAAAAGGGCGGGAACAGUACAUAUUAAUUCUAA